rnacentral:rRNA from 1 species
UACAGAGGGGGCGAGCGUUGUUCGGAAUUACUGGGCGUAAAGGGCGCGUAGGCGGCCCGCUAAGUCGAACGUGAAAUCCCCAGGCUCAACCUGGGAACUGCGUCCGAUACUGGCAGGCUUGAAUCCGGGAGAGGGAUGUGGAAUUCCAGGUGUAGCGGUGAAAUGCGUAGAUAUCUGGAGGAACACCGGUGGCGAAGGCGACUACCUGGCCUGCUCUUGACGCUGAGGCGCGAAAGCUAGGGGAGCAAACGGG